UACGAAGGGUGCAAGCGUUACUCGGAAUUACUGGGCGUAAAGCGUGCGUAGGUGGUUUGUUAAGUCUGUUGUGAAAGCCCAGGGCUUAGCCUUGGAAGUGCGCCAGAAACUGGAAGGCUAGAGUGCCGGAGGGGAGAGUGGAAUUCCUGGUGUAGCGGUGAAAUGCGUAGAUAUCAGGAGGAAUACCGGUGGCGAAAGCGACUCUCUGGACGGUAACUGACGCUGAGGCACGAAAGCGUGGGGAGCAAACAGG
rnacentral:rRNA from 1 species